rnacentral:rRNA from 1 species
AGUGAACGCUGGCGGUAGGCCUAACACAUGCAAGUCGAACGGCAGCACAGUAAGAGCUUGCUCUUACGGGUGGCGAGUGGCGGACGGGUGAGGAAUACAUCGGAAUCUAUUUUUUCGUGGGGGAUAACGUAGGUAAACUUACGCUAAUACCGCAUACGACCUACGGGUGAAAGCAGGGGAUCUUCUGACCUUGCGCGAUUGAAUGAGCCGAUGUCGGAUUAGCUAGUUGGCGGGGUAAAGGCCCACCAAGGCGACGAUCCGUAGCUGGUCUGAGAGGAUGGUAAGCCACACUGGAACUGAGACACGGUCCAGACUCCUACGGGAGGCAGCAGUGGGGAAUAUUGGACAAUGGGCGCAAGCCUGAUCCAGCCAUACCGCGUGGGUGAAGAAGGCCUUCGGGUUGUAAAGCCCUUUUGUUGGGAAAGAAAAGCAGCAGGUUAAUACCCCGCUGUUCUGACGGUACCCAAAGAAUAAGCACCGGCUAACUUCGUG